CUGAAUUUACGAACGGACAAUCUGACAUUUCUCUAAAUUUACGAACGCACAGAGCGCACUCUGGCACUCCAGAGCGAUUUUACGAACACACCCCAAGUUGAUCGCGUGGCAGCGGCAGGUUCAGCAGCUCACGUAUCCAUGACUACCCGGAUGGUGCAACUCGCUCAGCCCAAACCCAACCUGCUCCGAUUCCCUGACCGACGGUCAGUCUACUGGCUAGAUGAACUCCCACCUGAAAGAAAUGGCUCCACCACCUCGUUUG